UCGCUUCCUCUAAUCCUUUCCAACAGCUGGCUCUCAACGGUAAUAAGAAGAAAAUUGAAAACAGCUAGACAACAGACCUACUUUCCACGUUACCUCUCUCUCUCUCUCUUGUCCUCCAACGGAAAGAAAAAAAAAACAAGGAGGACAACACCUUCCAGACUGAAAUCUCUCUCUCAUAGAAAGAAAAGAAAAAGAAGAAGAAAAAAACGUAAAAAGAAAAAAGCAAGAAGAGAGGAUUGUUCCUCUUCUUCUUCAAACACACCCACCGCAAAUCACCGUCGACGACACCAUUCCUUUCCAUCGCCGACCUCCUUUUCGAUCAACCACAUAAACCCAUUCGCACAACCCAAAACCUCAACCACCCUCC
rnacentral:lncRNA from 1 species